UCCUACGGGAGGCAGCAGUGGGGAAUCUUAGACAAUGGGGGCAACCCUGACCUAGCCAUGCCGCGUGAGUGAUGAAGGCCUUAGGGUCGUAAAGCUCUUUCGCCUGUGAUGAUAAUGACAGUAGCAGGUAAAGAAACCCCGGCUAACUCCGUGCCAGCAGCCGCGGUAAUACGGAGGGGGUUAGCGUUGUUCGGAAUUACUGGGCGUAAAGCGCGCGUAGGCGGAUUAGAAAGUUGGGGGUGAAAUCCCGGGGCUCAACCCCGGAACUGCCUCCAAAACUGCUAGUCUAGAGUUCGAGAGAGGUGAGUGGAAUUCCGAGUGUAGAGGUGAAAUUCGUAGAUAUUCGGAGGAACACCAGUGGCGAAGGCGGCUCACUGGCUCGAUACUGACGCUGAGGUGCGAAAGUGUGGGGAGCAAACAGGAUUAGAUACCCUGGUAGUCCACACCGUAAACGAUGAAUGCCAGUCGUCGGGUAGUAUACUAUUCGGUGACACACCUAACGGAUUAAGCA
rnacentral:rRNA from 1 species